GUCUGAGUUGCAUUCAGAAGAUGCAGAUUAGUUUUUUGCAGGUCCUA
rnacentral:tRNA from 1 species